CCUACGGGCGGCAGCAGUGAGGAAUAUUGGUCAAUGGUCGCGAGCCUGAACCAGCCAAGUAGCGUGAAGGAUGACUGCCCUACGGGUUGUAAACUUCUUUUAUAAAGGAAUACAGUGAGGCACGCGUGCCUUUUUGUAUGUACUUUAUGAAUAAGGAUCGGCUAACUCCGUGCCAGCAGCCGCGGUAAUACGGAGGAUACGAGCGUUAUCCGGAUUUAUUGGGUUUAAAGGGAGCGUAGAUGGGUUGUUAAGUCAGUUGUGAAAUUUUGCGGCUCAACCGGAAAAUUGCAAUUGAUACUGGCAGUCUUGAGUACAGUUGAGGUAGGCGGAAGUCGUGGUGUAGCGGUGAAAUGCU
rnacentral:rRNA from 1 species